rnacentral:rRNA from 1 species
AGCGGCAGGCUUAACACAUGCAAGUCGAGGGGCAGCACGGGUAGCAAUACCUGGUGGCGACCGGCGCAAGGGUGCGUAACGCGUGAGCAACAUGCCCUAUACAGGGGGAUAAUCCAGGGAAACUUGGUCUAAUAUCCCAUAGUAUUUAGAGGAGGCAUCUUCUAUAAAUUAAAGCUUCGGUGGUAUAGGAUUGGCUCGCGUGACAUUAGCUAGAUGGUGAGGUAACGGCUCACCAUGGCAAUGAUGUCUAGGGGUUCUGAGAGGAAGGCCCCCCACACUGGGACUGAGAUACGGCCCAGACUCCUACGGGAGGCAGCAGUCGAGAAUAGUCUACAAUGGUCGGAAGACUGAUAGUGCGACGCCGCGUGAACGAUGAAUCCCUUCGGGGUGUAAAGUUCUUUUAUAUGUGAGCAGUGCUUCUUAUAUUAACAGUAUGGGGAGAGAGAUAUUAGCAUAUGAAUAAGCAACGGCUAACUCCGUG